rnacentral:rRNA from 1 species
UACAGAGGUCUCAAGCGUUGUUCGGAUUCAUUGGGCGUAAAGGGUGCGUAGGUGGCGUCGUAAGUGGGGUGUGAAAUCCCGGGGCUUAACCCCGGGACUGCAUUCCAUACUGCGGUGCUUGAGGACUGGAGAGGAGACUGGAAUUUACGGUGUAGCGGUGAAAUGCGUAGAUAUCGUAAGGAAGACCAGUGGCGAAGGCGGGUCUCUGGACAGUUCCUGACGCUGAGGCACGAAGGUCAGGGGAGCAAACGGG